rnacentral:tRNA from 8 species
CCGACUAGUUCCGGGUUCGAGUCCCGGG